rnacentral:sRNA from 1 species
CUGAAGUUAACAGUAUGCAUAUGGCGUUAAAACUACAAUUGCAAUGUAGGUAUAUUUACAAUGAUAAGCGUUGGCACAUUUUGCAAACUUUCGAAAAUGUUAAAAUAUUCCAUAGAAAUUGCAUCGUCGGAGAGCCAUUGCCAGGCUUGCAUUCUUUACCGACCGUGGGCCAACACGUUGAAUUUUUCUCGUUCUCAUAGAAAAUUCAAGUAGUUUUCUGAUUGACUUAUUGUGAAGGAAAUGUCAGCAGUCAUGGAUUUAGAAUCAUGAAUAUUCAUGGAAGCAAGAAAAUUUUAGUGAAUUUGCUUUAUGCCCAUAUAACACUUUUUAACAAGAGCUCUUCUUGUGACGUAGCGCGGGGGAGGAUAAGCCGGAUGUACGUGUAUCUUCAACAAUUGACGGACUAAGUAGGACUACCUACAUUGUACUACUAUAGAAGAGGAUCCAUAAAAAGAACGACCUUCAACUAUAUACACGUGUAUAAAACUUAUUUAUAUUAUAAACUAUAAUUAGUUUAUUUUUCUUAUUUUGGUGAACAAGACUUUAACUUUAGGUGUGAUUAUUAACUAUGUAAACUCAUUUGUUUUUAAAAACUUUUCCCAACAUAUUGCUAUAUUUAUGUUUAGUGAUUGAUGCUUUCAUUUCUAAUCACUGAGUAUGCUAAAAAAACUUUUUUGUUAUCGUCGUUUGCUGUAAUACGCUUAUCGAGUUUCGAUAUACAUGUAUAUUAAAUCUAAUUAUUAGUUG